GAAGUGCGAUAAGCAAUGCGAAUUGCAGAACCGUGAGUCAUCAGAUUUUUGAACGCAACCGGCGUCGGCUGGCUCUCCAGCCGGCAUGCUUGUUUCAGUGUCUCUUUAACUCCUCACCCAAAACUUAAUGCGAGAGAUGCCCUUCUCUUGCUAAGCGAGGAGGCGCUUAUGCGCUCUGCUAGUGGCUUCGCCUUUGUGUGAAGGCCGCACUCAAUGCAGCAGUCACAUUUUCUUAAUGUGAACUCAUUGAGGGCAGAGGCGUCGUAGCUUUUAGCUGCCCAGCGCCUGGUCAAACUGACCUUUCUUUGUAUCUGAAAUCAAGCAGGAUCACCCGCUGAACUUAAGC
rnacentral:misc_RNA from 1 species